ACUCAAAGGAAUUGACGGGGGCCCGCACAAGCAGCGGAGCGUGUGGUUUAAUUCGAGGCUACGCGAAGAACCUUACCUGGGCUUGACAUAGAGGUGGUAGGGAGGCGAAAGUCUCCUGACCUUCGGGAGCCUUUACAGGUGCUGCAUGGCUGUCGUCAGCUCGUGUCGUGAGAUGUUCGGUUAAGUCCGAAAACGAGCGCAACCCUCGGUGUGUGUUACAAGUGUCACACGCGACUGCCCGUGACAAACGGGAGGAAGGUGGGGAUGACGUCAAGUCAGCAUGGCCUUUAUGUCCAGGGCUACACACACGCUACAAUGGGCGGUACAAUGGGUAGCGAAGUCGUGAGGCGGAGCCAAUCCUAAAAAGCCGUUCGUAGUUCGAAUUGCAGGCUGCAACUCGCCUGCAUGAAGUCGGAGUUGCUAGUAACCGCAGGUCAGCACACUGCGGUGAAUACGUUCCCGGGCCUUGUACACACCGCCCGU
rnacentral:rRNA from 1 species